rnacentral:lncRNA from 1 species
GUCAACCGCCCAACGGCUGAGGAGUGCGGCAGCGCGCCAGAGACUGGCGGGCAGCUCCGCCCGCGGCCGGGAUGCACUAGGCAAAGCCAGCUGGGCUCCUGAGUCCGGUGGGUACUUGGAGAACUUACUACGUCUAGCUGGAGGAUUGUAAAUGCACCAAUCAGCAUGCUGUGUCUAGCUCAAGAACUCAAGCUCCAUGAGGAGAUGUUUCAUUGUCGAGAGCAGUCAUGAUGGCCUGCACUCCACACAAUGCAACAGAGUGAAAGAGCAGGUUCUGCUUCUUUGGUGUAGUCCUGAAGCUUCCUAAGAAACUUCACAUCAGGUGAUGGAUAGGAGCAACCCUGUAAAACCAGCCUUAGACUAUUUUUCAAACAGGCUGGUGAAUUACCAGAUCUCCGUCAAGUGCAGUAACCAGUUCAAGUUGGAAGUGUGUCUUUUGAAUGCAGAAAACAAAGUCGUGGACAACCAGGCUGGGACCCAGGGCCAGCUGAAGGUGCUGGGUGCCAACCUCUGGUGGCCGUACCUGAUGCACGAACACCCCGCCUCCCUGUACUCGUGGGAGGAUGGUGAUUGCUCACACCAAAGCCUUGGACCCCUCCCAGCCUGUGACCUUUGUGACCAACUCCACCUACGCAGCAGACAAGGGGGCUCUGUAUGUGGAUGUGAUCCGUGUGAACAGCUACUACUCUUGGUAUCGCAACUACGGGCACCUGGAGUUGAUUCAGCUGCAGCUGGCCGCCCAGUUUGAGAAUUGGUGUAAGACAUCACAAUCCCAUUAUUCAGAGCGCGUAUGGAGUGGAAACGCUUGUAAGGCUUCACCAGGAUCCACCUCUGAUGUUCAGUGAAGAGGACCGGAAAAGUCUGCUAGAGCAGUACCAUCUGGGUCUGGAUCAAAAACGCAGAAAAUACGUGGUUGGAGAGCUCAUCUGGAAUUUUGCCGAUUUCAUGACUAACCAGUCCAAGGAUGAAGGAAAAACUGGACCUCAUUAUGGAUUUACUUUUGGGAUACACUCAUUAUUCCAGAGGAGGGUAAAAGGCUGAGAAGCUUAAGGUAUUUCAGUCUGUUUUAUGUUACUCAUUUGCGAAAAGCAGGCUCAUCGAAUACAGGUGAGUUUCAACGCGUCUUGAAUAUGGCAGCAUUUAAAAGUCUUCAGACCAGGCAUGGUGGCUCAUGCCUGUCAUCCCAGCACUUUGGGAGGCCAAGGUGGGAGGAUUGCUUGAGGCCAGGAGUUCGAGACCAGCCUGUUCAGCAUAGCAGGACCCCCAUCUCUACAAAAACUAAACAGAUUAGCUAGGUGUGGUGGUGUGUGCCUGUAGUCCUAGCUGCUUGGGAGGCUGAGGCAGGCGGAUAGCCUGAGCACAGGAGUUGGAGGCUGCAGUAAGCCAUGAUUACACCACUGCACUUGAGCCUGGGCAGCAGAGUGAGACCUGUCUUUAAAAAAAAAAAAGGAGCUGGGCACGGUGGCUCAUGCCUGUAAUCCCAGCACUUUGGGAGGCCGAGGCAGGCAGAUCACGAGGUCAGGAGAUCGAGACCAUCCUGGCUAACAGUGAAACCCUGUCUCUACUGAAAAUACAAAAAAAAUCAGCCGGGCGUGGUGGCGGGUGCCUGUAGUCCCAGCUGCUCGGGAGGCUGAGGCAGGAGAAUGGCAUGAACCCAGGAGUUGGAGCUUGCAGUGAGCCGAGAUUGUGCCACUGCACUCCAGCCUGGGCGACAGUGAGACUGCUUCUC